CUCGGGAGGGCGCUUACCACUUUGUGAUUCAUGACUGGGGUGAAGUCGUAACAAGGUAACCGUAGGGGAACCUGCGGUUGGAUCACCUCCUUACCUUAAAGAAGC
rnacentral:rRNA from 1 species